ACAUUUUCUGACUGGCACAGGAUCACUCUAGACGUGGAGACAGUCUUUGCUCUCGUUUCUGAGUCAAGACUCCUUGUUGUUUUCAGCUUUAGAAUUAUACUGGGAGAAGAGACAGAAGACUUAAGUGUGCCUGCAGAAAGAGAAUCUGUGUUCUAAGUUUUAGCAAGUUAGAUGAGAAACUUGGUUAGGUGUAAAGCAAAUACAAGAAUUGCCUCCUACUUAUACAAAGUAGAGUCAACAAACCCUGCUGGUGGCCCAUUAGGCUAGAAACUUAGGGAUGUUGAUAUUUAUACAUACUCAUCCUACAAAAGGACCUAGAAGGAGGCAGAAGUCUAUAGCAAAGGUAGAAGAGAAAUGUGGAAGAGGUAUGUGGUUCCUGCAUCCUCCUUUACCUUGGAGGAAGUCAGGUAGAUAAAACCUCUGUGUUUGAAAUAAAGAAAUUGUGGUAUAAGCACAUUGCCAAGGUAGUGAGGUAAUCACCAGAAGAAAUAAGGAAUUAAAAAGUGGUUCUUACAGGCCAGGAUUGGAGGAAAAAUGUUUCUCCUUUGAUUAUAUUUUACAGUGUGCAUAUAUGAAUUAUAUGGUUUAUACAGUGCCUGCUUUGUUAUGGGAUAGAUGUCAUAUAUCUUUAAAAGGCA